rnacentral:rRNA from 1 species
AUGAAAUAUGUCUUUAAGUAUGUCACCAAAGGUGCUAACUACUCUAAGGUCAUGUUGGAAAGGCUAAAAAAUUUGACUAAAUCUGGUUGUCGUACAGGAGAUGAGGUUCAGGAGUAUCUGAUAUGUCAGUAUAUAUGUGAGAACGAUGCAUUGUGGCGCAUAUUUGGGUUUGAAAUACACUUUAAAAUGCCAUCAGUUCAAAGGCUGACCGUUCAUUUGUCUGGCAUCAAUACUGUCUACUAUCAUGUUGGUGCUGACCUCACGAAAAUUGUUGAUUCCGACUUCUUGCGAAAGACUAUGCUUACCAAAUGGUUUGUUGCAAAUGAGAUGUUCGAAGAUGCCCAUUCAUUAACUUAUUGUGAUUUUCCAACUACUUGGACUUGGGACGCUAAAAGUAGGUCAUGGCAUCCAAGAGGUGGGGGUGAAAAGAUUGGCCGCGUGUAUUAUGUACGUCCUUUGAGUGGUGAGUUGUAUUACUCGCGCAUGCUUUUGAUGAUUGUUAAGGGGGCUAGGUCUUUUGAGGAUCUCCGAACAUAUGCUGGUCAUCUUUAUCACACCUUUAAAGAGGCUUGUGCCGCACGUGGUUUGUUAGGAGACGAUAACGAGUGGUACAUAGCAUUUGAUGAAGCGGUUGUCUGGGGGUAUGGGCAUCGACUUAGAUGGCUAUUUGUGACUAUGCUCAUGCAUUGUUCUAUCAAGGAUGAGAUGGGUUUCUUUGAACGUUACUGUGCUAGCAUGUACGAUGAUAUCCAGCAUGGGUUGUGUCGUGCCCUGGGUAAUCCAAACUAUGUUGUUCCUCCUUAA